GCCGGUGUAGCUCAGGGGUUAGAGCACCUACGUCGGUUCCGCCGACUUCGAUCUCUGGACACCGAAAACUUCAUGCACCUCCCGGUGCGUGUGCUUGACCUCGGGAGGCGCAGCUCAUGGUGGGUGGCCGGUGCGAAGGCGGCGGAUACUUCGGGGACUGGUGGGGGGAAAUCCCUCGUGCGGGUUCGAAUCCCGUCGUCGGCG
rnacentral:tRNA from 1 species